rnacentral:rRNA from 1 species
GAUGAACGCUAGCGGCAGGCCUAAUACAUGCAAGUCGAGGGGUAGUGGUUGCUUGCAGCCAUGAGACCGGCGCACGGGUGCGUAACGCGUAUGCAACCUACCUUCAUCUGGGGGAUAGCCCGGAGAAAUCCGGAUUAAUACCGCAUAAAAUCACAGUACGGCAUCGUACAAUGAUCAAACAUUUAUGGGAUGGAGAUGGGCAUGCGUGUCAUUAGUUAGUUGGCGGGGUAACGGCCCACCAAGACCGCGAUGACUAGGGGAUCUGAGAGGAUGACCCCCCACACUGGUACUGAGACACGGACCAGACUCCUACGGGAGGCAGCAGUAAGGAAUAUUGGUCAAUGGGCGCAAGCCUGAACCAGCCAUGCCGCGUGCAGGAAGACGGCCCUCUGGGUUGUAAACUGCUUUUAUUCGGGAAUAAACCUGCUUACGUGUAAGUAGCUGAAUGUACCGAAGGAAUAAGGAUCGGCUAACUCCGUGCCAGCCGCCGCCGUAACAC